AGGCCACCAAUUGGUAUGCUAAUCUGAAUGUGUUCCUGCAGAAACAUAUUGAAAGCUGGCAAUAGUGAUGCCAUGUUACAAACCUUAAGACAGCUGAGGUCAAGUGCCUGAAAAAGGCUACAAUA
rnacentral:snoRNA from 1 species